GGCUGGGGAAACCAUUGGUGAGAUUUCACAUCAGACAGAACCAGGAAGCUGACAGUCUGGAGAGGAAGGAAGGUUGUGGAGCCUGCCCACUGCUGGAACCAUGGACAGCUCUGAGGCCGGCUGUUACCCUAGUUUGCCAGACUUGUGAACUCCCUGACGAGGGCCUACACUACAUCUAGCACAUAGUAAGUGCUCAAGAAACAUCUGGUGAAUCAAUCGAAAACCAGAUGAAGGUCUCUUCCUGUGCCUGGUGCUUAGUGAGCCUUUCUGACCCUUGUCUCACUCCAGGCUUUUCUACUCUGCAAAGGAAGUUAUCUUUAAUUUAUUCUGGAAUCCCAAUAAGACAUCAAUGGAAAGGCAAGUUCUGUGGUUUUAAAGGAAGCUCCAGGGACUCUCAUCUCCUGUGGGCCUAGAAACCUGUCCUUGAAGACUCUGCAAUGGGUGACAGCUGGAUCACACCAGGACUGAAGGAGAGAAACUGUUUUCAAGAGCAGAAGUGAUUGUCUCAAGUGACAAUGUUUUGGAUUGAACUGAGUCCCUCCACAACCAUCAACGUCAGCGCCUCAAAUGUGACCGUAUUUGGAGGCUGGGUCAUUGCAGAGGCUCUCCUCAAAGGCACAGAGCACGCCCGCUCUUUGUGCGCACCUUCCCCAACACAUGGACAGGCCUUCCACACAGCAGGCCCACAGGUACACGCCGCUGGAGCUUCCAUCCUCCUCUCCAACCUCACAAACUCCACGCAGUCUGGGUGGACUGACCCGCACCACUCUGCGGCGAAGCCCAAUUCAGGAAGCACCCAGAGGGACCUGAGCUGCCCCCUUUGACAGCUUGAGCUAUUGGGGCCUGGAGGUGAAGGACAAGGGGUGUGCACGCCAAGCAGCUCAGGGCAUUGGACCAGAUGCAGGAGACACAGUGAAGAGUGACAAACAGCUCCUGCCUCUGGGGCCUCGUGGGCCACUCCAAUACCUAUCACCCAGCUUUCCAGAUUCACCACAAAGCAGCCUACUCUGGGAAGCCUUCUCUGCCAAGUUCAAGUAUCUCCUUCUCCAGGAAGCCUUCCCAGACCUUCCCUGUCCACCCACCUCACCUCUCCUCUGAGCUUUGAGGUCCAUGCUACACCUGGGCUGGAUUAUAUGCUGUUUUGGCUACUCAGAAGCUCCCUGUGGGCCAGUGACUCAGUGGCCACAUCUCAGGGCUUUACUGGCAGCUAUCCACCCUCUUCUGU